rnacentral:tRNA from 1 species
CCUCUCGUAGCUUAGUAGUAAGAGCAUUGGUGCGUAAAGCCAAAGGUCCCGGGUUCGAUUCCCGGCGAGGGCA